GACGAACCGUGCGAACGUUGUUCGGAAUCACUGGGCUUAAAGGGCGCGUAGGCGGGUGACCAAGUCAGGGGUGAAAUCUUUCGGCCCAACCGGAAAAGUGCCUCUGAUACUGGUCGUCUUGAGGGAGGUAGGGGUCGAGGGAACUGGUGGUGGAGCGGUGAAAUGCGUAGAUAUCACUAGGAACGCCGGUGGCGAAAGCGCUCGACUGGACCUCUUCUGACGCUGAGGCGCGAAAGCCAGGGGAGCAAACGGGAUUAGAUACCCCGGUAGUCCUGGCCCUAAACGAUGGGUACCAGGCUGUGGACUUGACAUGGGUUCACAGCCGAGGCAAAAGUGUUAAGUACCCCGCCUGGGGAGUAUGGUCGCAAGGCUGAA
rnacentral:rRNA from 1 species